rnacentral:rRNA from 1 species
CCUACGGGAGGCAGCAGUGGGGGAUAUUGCACAAUGGGGGGAACCCUGAUGCAGCGACGCCGCGUGGGUGAAGGAGCGUUUCGGCGCGUAAAGCCCUAUCGGCAGGGAAGAAGGAGGACGGUACCUGACUAAGAAGCCCCGGCUAACUACGGGCCAGCAGCCGCGGUAAUACGUAGGGGGCAAGCGUUAUCCGGAUGUACUGGGUGUAAGGGGGUCGCAGACGGCAGCGCAAGCCAGGAGUGAAAGCCCGGGGCCCAACCCCGGGACUGCUCUUGGAACUGCGCGGCUGGAGGGCAGGAGGGGGAGGCGGAAUUCCUGGUGUAGCGGUGAAAUGCGUAGAUAUCAGGAGGAACACCGGUGGCGAAGGCGGCCUGCUGGACUGCGACUGACGUUGAGGCCCGAAAGCGUGGGGAGCAAACAGGAUUAGAUACCCUUGUAGUC